GACGAACGCUGGCGGCGUGCCUAACACAUGCAAGUCGAACGGAACUGUUUUGAAUGAUUUCUUCGGAAUGAAUUUGAUUUACUUUAGUGGCAGAGGGGAGAGUAACGCGUGAGUCCCCUGCCUUCCAGAGGGGGAUAACAUUCAGAAGAGAGUGCUAAUACCGCAUGAUAUAUCAGAACCACGUGGUUUUGAUAUCAAAUAUUUUAGUCGCUUGAAGAUGGACUCGCGUCCGAUUAGGUAGGUGGUGAGGUAACGGCUCACCGAGACCACGAUCGGCAGCCGGACUGAGAGGUUGAGCGGCCUCGUUGGGACUGAGACGCCGACAAUACUCCUACAGGAGGCAGCCGUGGGGGAUAUUGCGCAAUGGGGGCAACCCUGAAGCAGCAACGCCGCGUGAAGGAUGAAGGUAUUCGGAUUGUAAACUUUUUUUCUUCAGGACGAAAAAUGACGGUACUUAAUGAAUAAGCUCCGGCUAACUACGUGCCAGCAGCCGCGGUAAUACGUAGGGAGCAAGCGUUGUCCGGAUUUACUGGGUGUAAAGGGUGCGUAGGCGGCUUUGCAAGUCAGAUGUGAAAUGUAUGGGCUCAACCCAUAAACUGCAUUUGAAACUGUAGAGCUUGAGUGAAGUAGAGGCAGGCGGAAUUCCCCGUGUAGCGGUGAAAUGCGUAGAGAUGGGGAGGAACACCAGUGGCGAAGGCGGCUUGCUGGGCUUUAACUGACGCUGAGGCUCGAAAGCGUGGGUAGCAAACAGGAUUAGAUACCCUGGUAGUCCACGCCGU
rnacentral:rRNA from 1 species